rnacentral:lncRNA from 1 species
UAAAGUAAAAUCAAAAACUAAAAUAAAAUGCUGCAAGCUCUAGUUUUGGCCUCCAAAUACAAGUACUAUAGGACAUACCCCGGAAUAAAAUAUAUACAAAUCAUUAAGGGCAUGUCUCAGAUAAAUUUAACUAAAGGAAUAACCUCUCGCCUCACAAUUAACCGAAGUUCUAAAGCUUGCCUAUCCAAUGUGGUAGGCCUAACAUGCUCCUAUAGAAUAAAGCAAUAGAAUAAACAAUUAGCACGCUAACUUUCAUCCUUAAUGUCCAACCCCAAAGCAAAUUCGAUAAUUUUCACUAUUUGUUAUUAGACUUUCUCUUGUUUGCAAUACCACAUAGACAAUUAAUUGUUCCCCUAAUACUUAAACUAAUUUACUACAAAGAAAACUAUUUAAACACAAUGAUGGAAAAUAUAACACCUAAAGAAGAACAUUGACUUUAAAUACUACAAGAUCACGGAAAAGACAAAGAUAGAAAAGGCGAAGAACCACCAGUAAGAAUGCAAGGACUAAAAUGGUUUUCAAACUAUCUCAAUAACUACUAAAGUUCUAAAAAAUCUAUAAAAAAAAACUACUGCCACUAUGAACCAAAGCAAGUCUAUGAGAUUAAAUUCUAUUUCUAAAAAUAUAACAUUUGAAAUAUAAGGUUCAUGGAGAAUAUGUCUUUUUGAGCACAAGUUUCCCUAUAGCUUUCAGAUUAUUUCCUUCACUUUUAAUUACUUGGUGAGCUAUUAUGUUCUCAUAACUCUAGACCAAUCAAACUAAGCAUCAUGUUCACUAUCUAUCUAAUGUAGUAGCCUAAAUUAAAUUCACUAAGUUUGCCGACGGUCGAUUGGAAACAUCCUCUUUGCCCUCUACGGUAGGGAUAAGGCUCGUCUACAUAUUAACCUCCCCAGACCCCACUUUGUAGGACUAUACUGGUUAGUUGUUGUUGUUGUCGUAAGUAAGCACGAACCAAGUAGGAGCAAAAAUUAGGAUACUAAAUAAGAUCUAAAAUAUGCUAACACGGAAGCAGAUUAAUCUAAAACAUUCACCAAAACCAAUACGAAAUGAGCUAAAAGAGAAUGAAAAGUUUGACCUUCACAGAAGAAUAAUUUUUCUUUAGUACUCACGGAUUGCAACCUUCCAAACUUUGAGUUACACUGCAGAAACAUGUAGAAAUUGGCUUUGAAAUCAUCAGCCGCAACAGGAACUACGAACGGAAAUCAACGACCAUAAACACCUCGGAUCGAGCUCCGAACCUCAAUUAAAUUCCAUUUCUUCCUGAAGCCAAAUCCGGAAUUGAAAACAAAAUAUGAACAGCAAUUUGCUUGUGUAGGUUUUGGUAUUUUUCUGACUUAAAAAGGAAAGACAAGAACACAAAACUCCUAAUGAACACUAACAGAAACCCCUCUUAAGUUUUUUUUCGUUUUUCUUUUGCAGCUUGCGGUUUCUGCUGGUUGACAACGAAGGAACGGUGGUUGAAGGGGGUGAUCAACUGCCAGGGGUAUGUUUGACGCUGGAGAUGGAGAAGGGAAGGGAGCCGCCACUGAUUUUGGUUGUGGAGAUUAGGUUGGAGGAGACGAUGGCUGGAGGCUGGUUUGUAGAAGUUUUUUUUUGGCAGCUCUUGGUGGAAACGGGUGGCGGCUGCUGCGUUCUUUACGGUGGUAGUAGGUGGCAGAAUGGUGCUUGGUGGUUCGGGGGAUGAGGGAGUCUGACCGACGGCUAUGGCUGCUCUUGGUCUGCGUGGGUUGUGGUCAGAUUUGGGUGGUGAGGAGCGGCAGAUUAGAGAUAAGGGUGGAGAGUGACGACUGGAGGUGGUGAAGGGUGUGGUGGGAGGCUGGAGCUUCUAAUGGAGACUAGGGUUUUUGGAUCUCGAUCUUGAAGAAGAAGAUGAAGUGUCCGGUCAUUUUUUUGUAUCUAUUGUCUCGGGUUAUUUUUUGUGUUCUGUUAAAGAAGAAAGCGAGUAAGGAAGAAAUGGUAAUGGGUUGGGUCUUC